UGAAAACUAUUCGAUAUGGUGCCAGUGGCGUAACAAAAGCGAUAGUGUUAAAUGAAGUUAAGUGCCUUAGGAAAUUGAGGCACGAGAACAUCAUUUUGUUUAUGGGGUAUGCCAUGAACAAUAUUGAAGUUAAAAUAGUGAAAAAUUUUGUUCAAGGGCAAAUUCUGCAAGGCUUGCUCUUCAAGAAGAAAACUCAUUUGACCGUAAGUAACAAAUUUCUUAUCCUAGAGCAGUUGUCAUUUGGACUGGCAUAUUUGCAUGGCAAGACACCACCUAUUGUUCAUCGGGAUCUGAA